rnacentral:tRNA from 1 species
AGGAAUUUAGGUUAAAUCAGACCAAGGGCCUUCAAAGCCCUAAGUAAGUAUAGCAUACUUAAUUCCUG